rnacentral:rRNA from 1 species
ACGCUCGACACCUACGGAGGCGGCAGUCGGGAAUAUUGCGCAAUGGAGGAAACUCUGACGCAGUGACGCCGCGUAUAGGAAGAAGGUCUUCGGAUUGUAAACUAUUGUCGUUAGGGAAGAAAAAGGACAGUACCUAAGGAGGAAGCUCCGGCUAACUACGUGCAAGCAGCCGCGGUAAUCUGAGCGGGCUGGCAAGGC